GUAGUGCCCACUUGAGCAAUAUUUCUACUACAAUUGGAAUGAUACAGAGAUGAUUAGCAUGGUCCCUGCGCAAGGAUGACAUGCAAAUUUGUAAAGCUUUCCAUAUUUUU